AUGCUUGAUCAUGCUUCCGAUAACGGUCACCGCGCCCGUUUUAUGGAGAACGGAGUGAUGCUCCCCCCAUUGCGGAUGAGGGGCCACACGAAGGCUGUGCAGAUGCAGUACGACGAGCGCUACACUCCGUAUUUCAGGAGAGCAUGGAUGUUGGGUUUCGUUCUUCAGUUCAAAAGGCAGCCGUCGACGCUCGUGCACUCGGCUCUUACGGCAUUGAUCGACCGGUGGCGCCUCGAGACGCACAGUUUUCAUCUCACUUGUGGUGAGAUGACAGUGACUCUCGAGGACUUCGGCAUGAUCACGGCCCUGCCCAUCGAGGGCCAUGCUCUGACCGGGCGAGUGGAGAGGGCCAACUGGCAGGAGAGGGUGAUCGCCCUGAUUGGCGACUGCCCUCCCAUGAAGGGGAACAGAACAUCCGGUGUGCGGCUCAAGUGGCUCCUGGAGAACCUGGCACGAGAGAAGGUAUCGCAAAGACAGCGAGAGGAGAGUGGUUCACUGGGACACCUACUGUGA
rnacentral:rRNA from 1 species